rnacentral:rRNA from 1 species
UACGUAGGGUGCAAGCGUUAAUCGGAAUUACUGGGCGUAAAGCGUGCGCAGGCGGUUUUGUAAGUCUGACGUGAAAGCCCCGGGCUUAACCUGGGAAUUGCGUUGGAGACUGCAAGGCUUGAAUCUGGCAGAGGGGGGUAGAAUUCCACGUGUAGCAGUGAAAUGCGUAGAUAUGUGGAGGAACACCGAUGGCGAAGGCAGCCCCCUGGGUUAACACUGACGCUCAUGCACGAAAGCGUGGGGAGCAAACAGG